UACGUAGGGUGCGAGCGUUAAUCGGAUUUACUGGGCGUAAAGCGUGCGCAGGCGGCCCGUUAAGACAGGUGUGAAAUCCCUGGGCUCAACCUAGGAAUUGCGCUUGUGACUGGCGGGCUCGAGUACGGUAGAGGAUGGCGGAAUUCCUGGUGUAGCAGUGAAAUGCGUAGAGAUCAGGAGGAACACCGAUGGCGAAGGCAGCCCCCUGGGCCUGUACUGACGCUCAUGCACGAAAGCGUGGGGAGCAAACAGG
rnacentral:rRNA from 1 species